AAUCUUCACCACUCAUUACUCUGUCAAUAUUAAAACAAAAAAAACAAAACCCUUACUCGAAUCUUCUUUCUCUCUCUCUUUACCAAAGACAAAGAGUGGAGGAGGAGGUUCUGGAUUGCUGCAGUACAUUGAGAUUUGUCUCUCUCGACAAUAUGAAUUGAGCUUAAAAUGGAAUAAUCAUAGUUGCAGUGAAUGUGUUUCUGAUUCUGAAAAUAUACGUUUCUCAUCUUCACUGCUGCUACGUAUCUCUCUGCCGGAAGUGAGCUUCUUCUCGAGAUCCUUGGCCUUGGAACUGUCGGUGGUUUGUUCCUUCCCCUGCUCGGCGCGCUUCCCCACGCUAUGCUUAUCAUGGCUUUCUUAAAUUUUCAGGUGGCAGAUUUGGUGGUCUCCUUAUGUGAGACACUGGGUGAUUCUUCAUCUAUGAAGUGUUUGGCUGAGACACCAAAGAAAAAAGAACAAAUAUGACUGAGAUGUUGGGUAUGGUGCUCAAGCUCUAUUUUUGAUUUGGUUUGGUUUUUUAGGUGCUACCCAUUACUCCAUCAAAGUGGCCCAGGUUUUCCAGCUGAGGAAAGAGAGAGAUGUAAAAGAAGAUAUUACUUCAUAUGAGAGUUUCAAAUUAAGGAGAUUAAGAUUGGAAUCAACGGUGAGUUUCUGUUCAUGAUGAAAUUCAAUUAGUGAUGUGAAUCUCUUUAGUGAGUUUAGCAACCAUUGCCUCGCUUGACGAUUAGAUGGGUCUGGGUCUAAGCAAGAAGCUAAUCAUAGGAACAAACAACUGUGGUGAAUGAGAAGUUGAGAUAUCGACGAGCGUUAUCAAGUGAGGGAGAUAACCGAAUCUGCUUUAGCAGCUGCUGAAGAGACUGCAAUUAGCGCAAGAACAGCUUUAAUGGCAAACCCUUAUGUGUCAAGUGGAGCUUCAUGGUUUUCAAACGCGUUUGGUGUAGUGACAAAAACGUUUAAAGAGAGAGCUGAGAAUGGAGGAGAAGGAAGAAAGGAGAUCAUCCAACUUGAUCCUUCUUCACCUAAAGUUUCUGUUGUUGUUCCUUUUAAUAUCAGUUGAUGCAGAUCUCACCGAAUCAAGUUUUUUUAGUCCAUUUCAUCUCAAUUCUUUUAUAGGUUUGCUGUUCAUAGAGAUAUAUAUGUGAUUUCAUUUACUAGACAAAAGAUAAAAAGACAAAAACCUUAUAAGUUGUUGUUACGUUCA